UACGGAGGGUGCAAGCGUUAUCCGGAUUCAUUGGGUUUAAAGGGUGCGCAGGUGGGAAUGUAAGUCAGUGGUGAAAUACUGCCGCUUAACGGUAGAACUGCCAUUGAUACUGUCAAUCUUGAGUAUAUUUGAUGUGGGCGGAAUGUGUCAUGUAGCGGUGAAAUGCUUAGAUAUGACACAGAACACCGAUUGCGAAGGCGGCUCACUGGUCCGGUACUGACGCUGAGGUGCGAAAGCGUGGGGAGCAAACAGG
rnacentral:rRNA from 1 species